AUUGAACGCUGGCGGCAUGCUUUACACAUGCAAGUCGAACGGUAACGGGCCGCAAGGUGCUGACGAGUGGCGAACGGGUGAGUAAUGCAUCGGAACGUGCCCAGUCGUGGGGGAUAACUACUCGAAAGAGUAGCUAAUACCGCAUACGAUCUAUGGAUGAAAGCGGGGGACCGUAAGGCCUCGCGCGCUUGGAGCGGCCGAUGUCAGAUUAGGUAGUUGGUGGGGUAAAGGCUCACCAAGCCAACGAUCUGUAGCUGGUCUGAGAGGACGACCAGCCACACUGGGACUGAGACACGGCCCAGACUCCUACGGGAGGCAGCAGUGGGGAAUUUUGGACAAUGGGCGCAAGCCUGAUCCAGCAAUGCCGCGUGCAGGAAGAAGGCCUUCGGGUUGUAAACUGCUUUUGUACGGAACGAAACGGCUCUGGUUAAUACCCGGGGCUAAUGACGGUACCGUAAGAAUAAGCACCGGCUAACUACGUG
rnacentral:rRNA from 1 species